rnacentral:rRNA from 1 species
GGUUGCAAGUCUCUUCAUACGCGGUCCGUCCUUUGGUAUCGCCAAGCAUUUCGCGUCACACCUUCACCACGGCAUAUCCGAAACGCUGCCUACGUCCAAUCGUUGCACGCGCUGCGCCUUUCGCUGAUACAACAGGUCCAAGGCGACGCGCGUCAGGUCAUGAUCGGGUUUUUUGCACCUGUCAUGCAAUAACACGCAGG